GGCUUGUGGCUCAGCGGUAGAGCGCUCGCCUCGCAUACAUGAGACCCUGGGUUCGAUCCUCAGCACCA
rnacentral:tRNA from 1 species